GACUAUAUGUUCAACGGCCGCGGUAUUUUGACCGUGCGAAGGUAGCGCAAUCACUUGUCCUUUAAAUGAAGACCUGUAUGAAUGGCACGACGAGGGCUUUACUGUCUCCUUUUUCCAGUCAGUGAAAUUGAUCCCCCCGUGCAGAAGCGGGGAUUUAGACAUAAGACGAGAAGACCCUAUGGAGCUUUAAACUCUAAAGGCAGACUAUGUUAAACACUCUCAAACAAGAGACCAAACAGUAUGGACGCUGCCCUCAUGUUUUUGGUUGGGGCGACCCUGGGGAAUAACAAAACCCCCAUGAAGACAGGGAGCACAGUCUCCUAGACGCAAGAGCCGCUGCUCUAGCCCACAGAAUAUCUGACUUAUAAGAUCCGGCUUUAGCCGAUCAACGGACCAAGUUACCCUAGGGAUAACAGCGCAAUCCUCUUUUAGAGCUCAUAUCGACAAGAGGGUUUACGACCUCGAUGUUGGAUCAGGACAUCCUAAUGGUGCAGCCGCUAUUAAGGGUUCGUUUGUUCAACGAUUAAAGUCCUACGUGAUCUGAGUUCAGACCGGACC
rnacentral:rRNA from 1 species